GAUGAACGCUGGCGGCGCACCUAACACAUGCAAGUCGAACGAGUGGCGAACGGGUGAGUAACACGUGACCAACCCGCCCCCCCCACCGGGACAACCUCGGGAAACCGAGGCUAAUACCGGAUAGGGGGGGACGGGGGCGCGGCCCAUCAGGGAGACGGCGGGGCGACGGCCCGCCGUGCCGACGACGGGUAGCCGGGCUGAGAGGCCGAGCGGUCACAUGGGGACUGAGACACGGCUCAGACUCCUACGGGAGGCAGCAGUGGGGAAUAUGGCGCAAUGGGGGGAACCCUGACGGAGCGACGCCGCGUGCGGGAAGGAGGCCUGCGGGUCGUAAACCGCUUUCAGCAGGGAAGCGGUACCUGAAGAAGAAGCCCCGGCUAACUACGUGCCAGCAGCCGCGGUAAUUC
rnacentral:rRNA from 1 species